AAACCAACCGGGAUUGCCUUAGUAACGGCGAGUGAAGCGGCAAAAAGCUCAAAUUUGAAAUCUGGUACCUUCGGUGCCCGAGUUGUAAUUUGGAGAGGGCGAACUUUGGGGCCGUUCCUUGUCUAUGUUCCUUGGAACAGGACGUCAUAGAGGGUGAGAAUCCCGUGUGGCGAGGAGUGCGGUUCUUUGUAAAGUGCCUUCGAAGAGUCGAGUUGUUUGGGAAUGCAGCUCUAAGUGGGUGGUAAAUUCCAUCUAAAGCUAAAUAUUGGCGAGAGACCGAUAGCGAACAAGUACAGUGAUGGAAAGAUGAAAAGAACUUUGAAAAGAGAGUGAAAAAGUACGUGAAAUUGUUGAAAGGGAAGGGCAUUUGAUCAGACAUGGUGUUUUGUGCCCUCUGCUCCUUGUGGGUAGGGGAAUCUCGCAUUUCACUGGGCCAGCAUCAGUUUUGGUGGCAGGAUAAAUCCAUAGGAAUGUAGCUUGCCUCGGUAAGUAUUAUAGCCUGUGGGAAUACUGCC
rnacentral:rRNA from 1 species